UGGUAAGUAGUUUAAACAAAACAAAUGAUUUCGACUCNUUAAAUUAUGAUUAUCAUACUAACCAA
ensembl:Mt_tRNA